rnacentral:rRNA from 1 species
UAAUACCGGAUAGAUCAAAGAUACUGGAAUGUUCUCUGGUCUAAAGCUCCGGUGCCCAAGGAUGGGUCUGCGGCCUAUCAGCUAGUAGUGGGUGUAACGUACCUACUAGCCUACGACGGGUACGGGUUAUGAGAAAAAGAUCCCGGAGAUGGAUUCAGAGAGAUGAAUCCAUGCCUCCCGGGGUGCAGCAGGAGCGAAACCUUUACAAUGCGGGCAACCGCGAUAAGAGGACCCUGUGUGCCUGCACCUAGUGCGGCUGUCCCGCUGUGCAGGUAACAGUGGUUAGCAAGGGCCGGGCUAGACCGGUUUCAGACGCCGCGAAUAAACCGGGCGGCCCGAGUGGUAGCCGUUAUUAUUGGGUUUAAAGGGUCCGUAGCCGGCCUAUUAAGUCUCUUGGGAAAUCUGGCGACUUAAUCGUCAGGCGUUC